rnacentral:misc_RNA from 1 species
UCAAACUUGGUCAUUUAGAGGAAGUAAAAGUCGUAACAAGGUUUCCGUAGGUGAACCUGCGGAAGGAUCAUUACCGAGUGAGGGUUUUUUUUCAAAGCCCGACCUCCCAACCCUUUGUCUAUUGAACCUUUUUUACUGAAGACGUCGUCUGACUCUCGGGUCAAACGACCGAUUCUUUAAACUCUUUUACCUAGUUAAAAAUCUUAACUAUCUAAAACUUUCAACAACGGAUCUCUUGGUUCUGGCAUCGAUGAAGAACGCAGC